rnacentral:lncRNA from 1 species
AAAGAAAAAAAUCGACUCCCCCCAUUCCCGUCAAUCCGAUUUCUCCUGAGGUAACUCCUCAGUUUAUUCAAAUUACUUAUUAUUCUUCUAAUUUCUCAGCCGGGUCAUCUUCACUAUCUUCCGUCAAACAUACCUCAUCACAGAAAACUUUCCAUGCUUGUUUUACUUCAUCCCUGGGGCGAGAGAUGUUUGAUAUUGAACGACAGGCCCGUCGAGACGCUCGUCUGGAUAAAAAGAGGGAAACAGAGCGAAAGCGAGCAGAAGUUAUGAUGGGCGAGCGGGAAAAGAAAAAAGAAAUAACAAAGAACACAUCCACCUCAAGGGGAAGCAGAGGACGAAAAGGGAGAUAGAGAAAAGAGUGAAAAAGUGAAGACCCUAGAGAAAACAGAUGAAGGAGAAAAAGAAAAAAAAAAAAAGAA